GUACUUGCUUUGGCAGCACAUAUACUAAAAUUAGAACAAUACAGAGAAGAUUAGCAUGGUCCCUGCUCAAGAAUGACAUGAAAAUUUGUGAAGUGUUCCAUGUUUUU
rnacentral:snRNA from 1 species